rnacentral:tRNA from 1 species
GGGAAAGACCGCAAGAACUGCUAACUCUUCACCCCGCGCCUAACAGCCCGGCUUUCCCA